rnacentral:lncRNA from 1 species
AGAUCACUUCCUAUUUGAAAUGUCUGUGCUUCUAUUAGUGCUACAAGAGUGGGUCCCUGCACCCUGGUAAGACCAUCCUCUCAAGGAAUCACUGAGAAGAACCACAAAGGCAGAGAAGUGAGUGGGGGUUUUGGAGAAUGGCAGCUACUCUGAUGUGGCUGGAGAAUUGGGCUGAAGAAAGGUGAUACAGGAGGUGAGAACGGAGGAGCAGGGUGGGGCUUGGUCUGAAAAUCAUCACUCACAGUGUGAGGGGUAAAGAGUUGCAGCCAAAGAUGGACCAGAAGUAUUCGAUCUCAUGUGUAAGACAAAUGAAGUCUACAAUAUUGUGCGUAGUGACAUCAUCCAAUGUUUUUAUGAGGCAGUGGAUUUUGACUCUAGCUGCACAUGCUCCGCUAUCUGUUUUGAAAUAGAAGUGCCUGGGUGCCACCUCUAAAGACUCUGGUUCAGUAGAACAGGGGAGGCACUGACCUCAGGAUUAUUUUUAAUCUCCAUGGUGACUCAGGUGCGCGAUGAAAAUCAUUCGUAUGGUGCUUUACAGUUUACACACUUUUCAACGAUAUCCUUCGCUCCUCAGAGUCAAAGUAGAAUUAUCACCAUUUCGCAUGUGAGAAAUUUGAGUCUCAGAGAAAUUACAUCCAUCCAAAUGACAAGUGGCAGCAAGGAGACUCUAAGCCGAUUUCCUGAGCCCAGGUCCAGUGCUUUUUCACGUAGCUCAGCCGCCUAAAAUGAAAACAGGAGUAAGGUGCAUAAGAAUUCAUUCCCCAAUCCAAGAAAAUACUAGAACCAAGCAUGAUUUGAGGUUGGCAAAAGGGUAAAUUUAGGCCCAAUGAAAAAGCACUUCUUUGAAUAUAUUUAAUACAUUCGUGGACCUUUUAACCCAAAGACGUGGUAGAAGAGGAUGAUCAAAUGUUCAAAUGAGAUUUCAAUACAUUUAUAGAUGAAGGAUCCACUCUCUUAGAUAUUGAGAGAAGCACUGUAUCUCCUCAUGUAUUUGUCAGAGACCAAAUGCCAGACUGGUUGUAUUAUGUUAAAGGACAGUCUACAAAUUACAGUCAGACAUUCUCACAGUUUAUAGUCUCAUCUGCCUCAACCUUCGACUGAAAAUUCGAUUAUCCGUGCCCUCAGAAGGAAGGAACAGCACAGAUAAGUGAAGUUCCCACGAAUCAGCUACAAAAUAUGAGGAUGUGGUGAUGAUCCCAUGACCGCAGAAGGACUGGGGCUCCUGGGUGACAUCAGCCCACCAAAAGGUGAGGAAAUCGGAUGCAACCUAAUAAGCAAGGAAGUGAGAAGGCUUGCCCACUAUUGGAUGGCUUCAGCCUAUGGAGCUGCGUCUCAGUGGCUGCAGAGCGGUGUGGCUCACAUCAUUAGCAGCAGUCCCAGCGCACCUGCACGAAGAUGGCGCCUCUGAGCUGCUGAGUCAGGGGGCAUCUGCUCCUCACAUCCACAUGCAGGAUGUUCAUCGGGAGCUGGGAGCAGUUCCCCUGCGUGGGGAAUCCUGCCUCGCUUAGUCACCCUGAUAUUGCAUAACAGACGUGGCAUUUCCAACAGCAUGGCACGCUAAUUGUCAAAAAAAUUAAUAAGAGCAAGAAUGUUGGCAGCCAGAUGGCUGUUAAAUAAUUAAACUUCACUGCCUGUUACAAAAGCCAGAGUUCAUAGAAGCUGCUGCCUUAAAUUUUGUGGGGUGCUAAGCACUAAGGAAACACAUGGCGUUACACAUAUAUCGCCCUUAAAUACAACCCCAAAUGAGGGCAACGGAGGUGGUUCAGAGGAUUGGGUGCCAAACCUUUAAUUCUCUCACCUUAACACUGGGAAACCACCCGUGAAGCAUGCAGCUUGGCUGGCACCAGUUAAACCUGCCUGAGCCCCG